AUCCGGUACGAGGACAGUGUCAGGUGGGCAGUUUGACUGGGGCGGUCGCCUCCUAAAGAGUAACGGAGGCGCCCCAAGGUUCCCUCAGAAUGGUUGGAAAUCAUUCGAAGAGUGCAAAGGCAGAAGGGAGCUUGACUGCGAGACCUACAAGUCGAGCAGGGACGAAAGUCGGGCUUAGUGAUCCGGUGGUACCGCAUGGAAGGGCCAUCGCUCAACGGAUAAAAGCUACCCUGGGGAUAACAGGCUUAUCUCCCCCAAGAGUCCACAUCGACGGGGAGGUUUGGCACCUCGAUGUCGGCUCAUCGCAUCCUGGGGCUGAAGUAGGUCCCAAGGGUUGGGCUGUUCGCCCAUUAAAGCGGUACGCGAGCUGGGUUCAGAACGUCGUGAGACAGUUCGGUCCCUAUCUGUCGUGGGCGUAGGAAAUUUGAGAGGAGCUGUCCUUAGUACGAGAGGACCGGGAUGGACGUACCGCUGGUGUACCAGUUGUUCCGCCAGGAGCACCGCUGGGUAGCUAUGUACGGAAGGGAUAAGCGCUGAAAGCAUCUAAGCGUGAAGCCCCCCUCAAGAUGAGAUUUCCCAGUAUGUAAGACCCCUUGAAGACGACGAGGUAGAUAGGUUGGGGGUGGAAGUGCAGUAAUGCAUGGAGCUGACCAAUACUAAUCGGUCGAGGGCUUAUCCUAA
rnacentral:rRNA from 1 species